rnacentral:rRNA from 1 species
AGGGCACCACCAGGAGUGGAGCCUGCGGCUUAAUUUGACUCAACACGGGGAAACUCACCCGGCCCGGACACCGCAAGGAUUGACAGAUUGAUAGCUUUUUCAUGAUUCGGUGGAUGGUGGUGCAUGGCCGUUCUUAGUUCGUGGAGCGAUUUGUCUGGUUUAUUCCGAUAACGAGCGAGACUCUAGCCUACUAAAUAGUUCGCACAUUGUCUCUGUGUGUGUGACUUCUUAGAGGGAUUUUCGGUGUUCAGCCGCACGAAAUUGAGCAAUAACAGGUCUGUGAUGCCCUUAGAUGUCCGGGGCUGCACGCGCGCUACACUGGCAAAAUCAGCGUGCUUGUCCUUCCCCGAAAGGGGUUGGUAAACCCUUGAAAAUUUGCCGUGAUUGGGAUUGGAAAUUGCAAUUAUUUUCCAUGAACGAGGAAUUCCAAGUAAGUGCGAGUCAUCAGCCCGCGUUGAUUACGUCCCUGCCCUUUGUGCACACCGCCCGUCGCCGCCCGGGACUGAGCCAUUUCGAGAA